rnacentral:lncRNA from 1 species
ACCUGUUUGGACAAUCAGAUAAUUACUGUGAAGACUGCCACAACUCUCCACUUCAUGAAGGACGUAGCUCUCCGGCACCUUUCCUGUGUAAUGCUCUUGGUCCUACGCAAAAUCCAUUAGGAGGAUCUCCAGCCAGUGGAAUAAGUUGCCACACCUGAAAACAGUGAGGUCCAAUUUAGCUUGGAAACAGAACAAGGGGACCCACGCGUACCUUAAAACUUCCUUCCUUAAAAACAAGGCGGCGAAUGCAAGUCCUCACUUCUAAAGCAGCUCUGCUUUAAAUUCCCUCGGGUUGUCUCCUCUCCACUCCUGUUAAGCUGUGUGAAUACCAGGGAAGUGUAAGUCACAAAGACUUUCAGCGGAGCGUCUUGCUGAUCAUCAGAACAGUAGUUUUGUACUCCGAAACAUCUCUCUGUAGAAGAGCAGGUGGUCUGUACUGCUCAGGAAGAGACUGUAAGCAUGCACAUGAUGGAGAAGGAGCCAUUUGCAGCGUGAGGUUGGAUGCGUGUGGAAUCAGGACACGUUGAUCCAAGCUCACGCAGAUAACGCCCUGAAUUCAUGUACUCAUUUGUCUUACGAGUUUGAAAUUUCCAGAGGUGCCUCUGGGAUUUAGUUGUACCAUUUCCAGUGGCACCAGGGUGCUUAAAUGCAGUAAUGAGGAGUACAGACCUUGUGGGGUCACAAAGAGGAGUAGAGCUACGUGACUUUGGGAACAUGUAUUUUCACCAAAAGCUCUCCCAGUGUGCUCCCAGCUCCCAUAGACAGAAACGUCACUUCAAACAUGAUUCCCCUCUGGUGGUGGCCUUCCUCUCCAGUAACCGAGUUCUUGGUAUCUGCAGCACGAGCAGAACAGUUCUGUUGUGAAAGAAGGAAAUCGGCAGAGCCGCAAGUUCUGCCCUGACUCAGAAUAAAACUGAAGUCUCAGA